GGAGGGGGCAAGCGUUGUUCGGAAUUACUGGGCGUAAAGGGCGCGUAGGCGACCUGAUUAGUCAGGCGUGAAAUCCCAUGGCUUAACUAUGGAAUUGCGCUUGAUACUGUCAGGCUUGAGUACAGGAGAGGAGAGUGGAAUUCCUAGUGUAGCGGUGAAAUGCACAGAUAUUAGGAGGAACACCAGUGGCGAAGGCGACUCUCUGGCCUGAUACUGACGCUGAGGUGCGAAAGCGUGGGGAGCGAACGGGAUUAGAUACCCCGGUAGUCCACGCUGUAAACGAUGGGUACUAGGUGUAGGGGGUUAUGAAACCUUCUGUGCCGGAGCUAACGCAUUAAGUACCCCCGCCUGGGAGUACGAUCGCAAGAUUG
rnacentral:rRNA from 1 species